GUCCCAUUAGCUAGUUGGUGGGGUAAAGGCCUACCAAGGCGACGAUCUGUAGCGGGUCUGAGAGGAUGAUCCGCCACACUGGGACUGAGACACGGCCCAGACUCCUACGGGAGGCAGCAGUGGGGAAUAUUGGACAAUGGGGGGAACCCUGAUCCAGCCAUGCCGCGUGUGUGAAGAAGGCCUUUUGGUUGUAAAGCACUUUAAGUGGGGAGGAGGCUUACCUGGUUAAUACCUGGGCUAAGUGGACGUUACCCACAGAAUAAGCACCGGCUAACUCUGUGCCAGCAGCCGCGGUAAUACAGAGGGUGCGAGCGUUAAUCGGAUUUACUGGGCGUAAAGCGCGCGUAGGUGGUUAAUUAAGUCAAAUGUGAAAUCCCCGAGCUUAACUUGGGAAUUGCAUUCGAUACUGGUUAGCUAGAGUAUGGGAGAGGAUGGUAGAAUUCCAGGUGUAGCGGUGAAAUGCGUAGAGAUCUGGAGGAAUACCGAUGGCGAAGGCAGCCAUCUGGCCUAAUACUGACACUGAGGUGCGAAAGCAUGGGGAGCAAACAGGAUAAGAUACCCUGGUAGUCCAUGCCGUAAACGAUGUCCACUAGCCGUUGGGGGAUUUUGAUCCUUUAGUGGCGCAGCUAACGCGAUAAGUAGACCGCCUGGGGAGUACGGUCGCAAGACUAAAACUCAAAUGAAUUGACGGGGGCCCGCACAAGCGGUGGAGCAUGUGGUUUAAUUCGAUGCAACGCGAAGAACCUUACCUGGCCUUGACAUAGUAGAGACUUUCCAGAGAUGGAAAGGUGCCUUCGGGAAUCUACAUACAGGUGCUGCCUGGCUGUCGUCUGCUCGUGUCG
rnacentral:rRNA from 1 species